rnacentral:rRNA from 1 species
AUUGAACGCUGGCGGCAUGCUUUACACAUGCAAGUCGAACGGUAACAGGCCUUCGGGCGCUGACGAGUGGCGAACGGGUGAGUAAUGCAUCGGAACGUGCCCAGUCGUGGGGGAUAACGCAGCGAAAGCUGUGCUAAUACCGCAUACGAUCUGUGGAUGAAAGCGGGGGACCUUUGGGCCUCGCGCGGUUGGAGCGGCCGAUGUCAGAUUAGGUAGUUGGUGGGGUAAAGGCUCACCAAGCCAACGAUCUGUAGCUGGUCUGAGAGGACGACCAGCCAGAGUGGGACGGAGACACGGCCCAGACUCCUACGGGAGGCAGCAGUGGGGAAUUUUGGACAAUGGGCGCAAGCCUGAUCCAGCAAUGCCGCGUGCAGGAAGAAGGCCUUCGGGUUGUAAACUGCUUUUGUACGGAACGAAACGGUCCUGGUUAAUACCUGGGGCUAAUGACGGUACCGUAAGAAUAAGCACCGGCUAACUACGUGCCAGCCGCCGCGGUAAUAC